rnacentral:rRNA from 1 species
UACGAAGGGGCUAGCGUUGCUCGGAAUUACUGGGCGUAAGGCUCGUAGGCGGCCAAUUAAGUCAGACGUGAAAUCCCUCGGCUUAACCGGGGAACUGCGUCUGAUACUGGAUGGCUUGAAUCCGGGAGAGGGAUGCGGAAUUCCAGGUGUAGCGGUGAAAUGCGUAGAUAUCUGGAGGAACACCGGUGGCGAAGGCGGCAUCCUGGACCGGUAUUGACGCUGAGGCGCGAAAGCCAGGGGAGCAACGGGG